GACAGAGGUCCCGAGCGUUAGGCGGAAUCACUGGGCUUAAAGCGUGUGUAGGCGGAUCGUUAAGUACCUUGUGAAAUCCCACGGCUCACCCGUGGAACUGCCCGGCAUACUGCGAUGCUAGAGUGUGGUAGGGGAGAGCGGAACUCCUGGUGGAGCGGUGAAAUGCGUAGAUAUCAGGAGGAACACCGGUGGCGAAGGCGGCUCUCUGGUCCACAACUGACGCUGAGGUGCGAAAGCGUGGGGAGCGAACAGG
rnacentral:rRNA from 1 species